UACAGAGGUCCCAAGCGUUGUUCGGAUUCACUGGGCGUAAAGGGUGCGUAGGCGGUCGGGUAAGUCUGAUGUGAAAUCUCACAGCUUAACUGUGAAACUGCAUUGGAUACUAUCCGGCUCGAGGAAUGGAGGGGAGACUGGAAUUCCUGGUGUAGCGGUGAAAUGCGCAGAUAUCAGGAGGAACACCGGUGGCGAAGGCGGGUCUCUGGGCCAUAACUGACGCUGAGGAGCGAAAGCGUGGGGAGCGAACAGG
rnacentral:rRNA from 1 species